UUUGCAUUCCAAUGCUUUUAAUAUUUUUUCAAUUGUAUUUUUACAAAUAAGAACGUCAAUGCACACCACAACAAAGAUUAAAUAAGCAAGCAUAGCGCUUGACUCUACAAAAGAUAUAUCCCUUCGCUCUCAUGGAACAAAUAGAAAAGGUUAAAACAUAAAAUACUCUACACGAUUUCAGACACAUUUGUACAUCGAAUUUGAUGCGCAUGAAAGUACGGGCAAUGCUUUUAUCUGAUAUGUGUAUUACUUAACUGGAAAAAUAUGUAAAUAUCGUAAUAAUUUCAUGAAAAUUAGUUCAAUAAUUACAGUAUUUUUAGUUUAAUUAUUUUUAAGAAACAAAACCAAAGGAGAUUAUUAAAAAAUGGCUUAAAUGGCUACUGUGUGUUUACCAUGGGGUUUCAUCUUAACCCAAAAAUGUCUAAUAAAUGCGCAAACCUUGUGUAAAAUGGCGACUUUUUUUUUUAAACAAAAUCAAUAAUUACCAGAUUUACGCAUUUGCCAGAGAUAUUUGAGUUUGGUUGAAUACCCCAACUAUACAUAUUUAUAAAGCAAAAACCACAAAAAUAAUUAUAAGAAAAAUUACAGAUUACUUAAAACUCGGUAAACAUAAGAUAAAUAGCCAAAGGUUAAGUAUUAAAAAAAAAAAACAAUAAAAUAAAAAAGUAAUGCAUAGAUCGACACCAAAAACACCACGAUUGAGCACAAAGAA